rnacentral:rRNA from 1 species
CAGAGGUCCCAAGCGUUGUUCGGAUUCACUGGGCGUAAAGGGUGCGUAGGUGGUCGGGUAAGUCUGAUGUGAAAUCUCCGAGCUUAACUCGGAAACUGCAUCGGAUACUAUUCGGCUCGAGGGUUGGAGGGGGGACUGGAAUACUUGGUGUAGCAGUGAAAUGCGUAGAUAUCAAGUGGAACACCAGUGGCGAAGGCGAGUCCCUGGACAACUCCUGACACUGAGGCACGAAAGCUAGGGGAGCAAACAGGAUUAGAUACCCUGGUAGUCCUAGCCGUAAACGGUGCACGUUUGCUGUAAAAGGAUCGACCCCUUUGUGGCGAAGCUAACGCGUUAAACGUGCCGCCUGGGAAGUACGGUCGCAAGAUUA